CUCCUUGGGUGGCGAGUGGCGGACGGGUGAGGAAUACAUCGGAAUCUACUUUUUCGUGGGGGAUAACGUAGGGAAACUUACGCUAAUACCGCAUACGACCUACGGGUGAAAGCAGGGGAUCUUCGGACCUUGCGCGAUUGAAUGAGCCGAUGUCGGAUUAGCUAGUUGGCGGGGUAAAGGCCCACCAAGGCGACGAUCCGUAGCUGGUCUGAGAGGAUGAUCAGCCACACUGGAACUGAGACACGGUCCAGACUCCUACGGGAGGCAGCAGUGGGGAAUAUUGGACAAUGGGCGCAAGCCUGAUCCAGCCAUACCGCGUGGGUGAAGAAGGCCUUCGGGUUGUAAAGCCCUUUUGUUGGGAAAGAAAUCCAGCCGGCUAAUACCUGGUUGGGAUGACGGUACCCAAAGAAUAAGCACCGGCUAACUUCGUGCCAGCAGCCGCGGUAAUACGAAGGGUGCAAGCGUUACUCGGAAUUACUGGGCGUAAAGCGUGCGUAGGUGGUUGUUUAAGUCUGUUGUGAAAGCCCUGGGCUCAACCUGGGAACUGCAGUGGAAACUGGACAACUAGAGUGUGGUAGAGGGUAGCGGAAUUCCCGGUGUAGCAGUGAAAUGCGUAGAGAUCGGGAGGAACAUCCAUGGCGAAGGCAGCUACCUG
rnacentral:rRNA from 1 species